GGUAACAGGGUUGCUUGCAACCGCUGACGACCGGCGCACGGGUGCGUAACGCGUAUAGAACCUACCUUUUACUGGAGAAUAGCCCAGAGAAAUUUGGAUUAAUGCUCCAUAGUAUUAUUUAGUGGCAUCACUUAGUAAUUAAAGAUUUAUUGGUAAAAGAUGGCUAUGCGUUCUAUUAGCUAGUUGGUAUGGUAACGGCAUACCAAGGCUACGAUAGAUAGGGGUCCUGAGAGGGAGAUCCCCCACACUGGUACUGAGACACGGACCAGACUCCUACGGGAGGCAGCAGUGAGGAAUAUUGGACAAUGGAGGCAACUCUGAUCCAGCCAUGCCGCGUGUAGGAAGACUGCCCUAUGGGUUGUAAACUACUUUUAUAGAGGAAGAAACCCCGGUAUGUAUACCGGUCUGACGGUACUCUACGAAUAAGGAUCGGCUAACUCCGUGCCAGCAGCCGCGGUAAUACGGAGGAUCCAAGCGUUAUCCGGAAUCAUUGGGUUUAAAGGGUCCGUAGGCGGGUCAGUAAGUCAGUGGUGAAAGUUUUCGGCUCAACCGGAAAAUUGCCAUUGAUACUGCUGGUCUUGAAUUAUUGUGAAGUGGUUAGAAUGUGUAGUGUAGCGGUGAAAUGCAUAGAUAUUACACA
rnacentral:rRNA from 1 species